UCCUGGUUAGCCCAGUCGGUGGAGCGCUCCACUGGAAUUGAAAAAGUCCCUGGUUCCAUACCAGGACCGGUUG
rnacentral:tRNA from 1 species